CCUUCACGCUCUUGAUAUACUUCUUGUGCUGCACUUAGAGAGGAAAAUAGAUGACUCAAGGAUGAAUGGGAAAUAGAAAAUCCCACUAACUGUACUAGUCUCAAGGGAAUUUUUGAGCUACUUAAUGAAGAUUCUCCCUCCUCCUCUCAUGCCCCAUCUUCCCCUCCUACCUUGCCACUAUAACCUUAGAUUUCCUAGUUUUUUUUGUUAUCCCUAGUGCUUGCUUUUAUUUUUAAAUCAUUAUUAAAUGUAUGGUG
rnacentral:lncRNA from 1 species